AACACUCUACUUUCAGGGAUCAUUUCUAUAGUUUGUUACUAAGAGGUUUCUCUGAACGUGUAGAGCAGCAGAUGAUCAAAAUAAAACUUUAAGUGAGAAAUUUGAUAGGGUUCACUUUUUUCAAAAAGAAAACUAGUUUGA
rnacentral:snoRNA from 1 species